UAGAGUUUGAUCCUGGCUCAGAACGAACGCUGGCGGCGUGGAUUAGGCAUGCAAGUCGUACGAGAACGGGAUGCUUCCGAUCCUUCGGGUGAAGAAGCGCCCAAGUAGAGUGGCGAACGGGUGAGUAACGCGUGAAGAACCUGCCUUUGAGUGGGGGAUAACACUCCUAACGGAAUGCUAAUACCGCAUGAGACCACAGAUUCUCAUGAAUCAGUGGUCAAAGGUGGCCUCUGUUUUAAGCUACCGCUCAAAGAUGGCUUUCGCGUCCCAUUAGCUUGUUGGCGGUGUAAAAGACCACCAAGGCGACGAUGGGUAGCUGGUCUGAGAGGAUGGUCAGCCACACUGGGACUGAGAUACGGCCCAGACUCCUACGGGAGGCAGCAGUCGAGAGGCUUUGUCAAUGGGGGAAACCCUGAACAAGCGACGCCGCGUGGAGGAUGAAUGCCCUUGGGUUGUAAACUCCUUUUGUCGGGGAAGAAACACGCUGCGGGUGAACAGCCCAUAGAAUUGACGGUACCUUGAGAAUAAGCUCCGGCUAACUCCGUGCCAGCAGCCGCGGUAACACGGGGGGAGCAAACGUUGUUCGGAAUUACUGGGCGUAAAGGGCGCGUAGGCGGCCUCGCAAGUCUGGGGUGAAAUCCACCGGCUCAACCGGUUGGACUGCCUCUGAAACUGCCAGACUUGAGUUCGGUAGAGGAGGGCGGAAUUCCUGGUGUAGCGGUGAAAUGCGUAGAUAUCAGGAGGAACACCGGUGGCGAAGGCGGCCCUCUGGUCCGAUACUGACGCUGAUGUGCGAAAGCGUGGGGAGCAAACAGGAUUAGAUACCCUGGUAGUCCACGCCGUAAACGAUGAGUACUAGGUGUUGGAGGUAUUGACCCCUUCAGUGCCGCAGCUAACGCAUUAAGUACUCCGCCUGGGAACUACGGCCGCAAGGCUGAAACUCAAAGGAAUUGACGGGGGCCCGCACAAGCGGUGGAGCAUGUUGUUUAAUUCGAGGCAACGCGAAGAACCUUACCCAGAUUUGACAUAUACGGGGUCGGUAUAGAGAUAUCGUUCCCGCAAGGGACCGGUGAAUAGGUGCUGCAUGGCUGUCGUCAGCUCGUGUCGUGAGAUGUUGGGUUAAGUCCCGCAACGAGCGCAACCCUUAUCUUUAGUUGCCAUCAGGUAAUGCUGGGAACUCUAAAGAGACUGCCCGGGACAAACUGGAGGAAGGUGGGGAUGACGUCAAGUCCUCAUGGCCCUUACGUCCCGGGCUACACACGUGCUACAAUGGCCGGUACAACGGGUUGCAAGACCGCGAGGUGGAGCUAAUCCCUUAAAACCGGCCUCAGUUCGGAUUGCAGUCUGCAACUCGACUGCAUGAAGUCGGAAUCGCUAGUAAUCGCGGAUCAGCACGCCGCGGUGAAUACGUUCCCGGGCCUUGUACACACCGCCCGUCACGCCAUGGAAGUUGGCAGUACCCGAAGUCGAUGAUCCAACCCGCAAGGGAAGGAACUGCCGAAGGUAAAACUGGCGACUGGCGCUAAGUCGUAACAAGGUAACC
rnacentral:rRNA from 1 species